GGAGGAAUGGCAGAGUGGUCGAUUGCGGCAGUUUCAAAAAUUGUCUCAGCCCGUUGAGGUUAACGAGGGGGAGGAGUUCAAAUUCCCUUUUCCCCU
rnacentral:tRNA from 1 species